rnacentral:misc_RNA from 3 species
AACGCACCUUGCGCCCUUUGGCUAUUCCGAAGGGCAUGCCUGUUUGAGUAUCAUGAACACCUCAACUCUCAUGGUCCACCAUGAUGAGCUUGGACUUUGGAGGUAUUGCCGGCCCAAUUGUCGGCUCCUCUCAAAUGGAUCAGCUUGCCAGUGUUUGGUGGCAUCACGGGUGUGAUAACUAUCUACGCUCGUGGUUUUCCACCAUGUAACCUUCAGCGAUGGAGGUUCGCUGGAGCUCACAGACGUCUCUCCUCAGGGAGGACAGCUUUUUGAACGUUUGAUCUCAAAUCAGGUAGGACUACCCGCUGAACUUAA